AGGACGCGAUUCGGUGUAAACGUUGUGACUUGUAUCAAAUUGCACCAAUCCCGGCCUGC
rnacentral:precursor_RNA from 1 species